rnacentral:rRNA from 1 species
AUUGAACGCUGGCGGCAGGCCUAACACAUGCAAGUCGAGCGGAUGAAGGGAGCUUGCUCCUGGAUUCAGCGGCGGACGGGUGAGUAAUGCCUAGGAAUCUGCCUGGUAGUGGGGGAUAACGUCCGGAAACGGGCGCUAAUAUCGCAUACGUCCUGAGGGAGAAAGUGGGGGAUCUUCGGACCUCACGCUAUCAGAUGAGCCUAGGUCGGAUUAGCUAGUUGGUGGGGUAAAGGCCUACCAAGGCGACGAUCCGUAACUGGUCUGAGAGGAUGAUCAGUCACACUGGAACUGAGACACGGUCCAGACUCCUACGGGAGGCAGCAGUGGGGAAUAUUGGACAAUGGGCGAAAUCCUGAUCCAGCCAUGCCGCGUGUGUGAAGAAGGUCUUCGGAUUGUAAAGCACUUUAAGUUGGGAGGAAGGGCAGUAAGUUAAUACCUUGCUGUUUUGACGUUACCAACAUAAUAAGCACCGGCUAACUUCGUG